rnacentral:misc_RNA from 1 species
GAUGAAGAACGUAGCGAAAUGCGAUACGUAAUGUGAAUUGCAGAAUUCAGUGAAUCAUCGAAUCUUUGAACGCAUAUUGCGCUCUUUGGUAUUCCGAAGAGCAUGCUUGUUUGAGUAUCAGUAAACACCUCAAAGACUUCAAUUUGUUUUGAAUGGCUUUGGACUUGAGCAAUCCCAACACCAGUCUUUACGAUCGGUGGAGGGUUGCUUGAAAUGCAGGUGCAGCUGGACAUUCUCCUGAGCUAAAAGCAUAUUUAUUUAGUCCCGUCAAACGGAUUAUUACUUUUGCUGCAGCUAACAUAAAGGGAGUUUGACCGUAUUGGCUUACUGAUGCAAGAUUUCACAAGGGUCGGCAACGAUUCUUGUAAAACUCGAUCUCAAAUCAAGUAAGACUACCCGCUGAACUUAAGCAUAUCAAUAAGCGGAGGA